GACGAACGCUGGCGGCGUGCCUAAUACAUGCAAGUCGAACGAAACUUUCUUACGCCGAAUGCUUGCAUUCCCCGUAAGAAGUUGAGUGGCGGACGGGUGAGUAACACGUGGGUAACCUGCCUAAAAGAAGGGGAUAACACUUGGAAACAGGUGCUAAUACCGUAUAUCUCUAAGGAUCGCAUGAUCCUUAGAUGAAAGAUGGUUCUGCUAUCGCUUUUAGAUGGACCCGCGGCGUAUUAACUAGUUGGUGGGGUAACGGCCUACCAAGGUGAUGAUACGUAGCCGAACUGAGAGGUUGAUCGGCCACAUUGGGACUGAGACACGGCCCAAACUCCUACGGGAGGCAGCAGUAGGGAAUCUUCCACAAUGGACGCAAGUCUGAUGGAGCAACGCCGCGUGAGUGAAGAAGGUCUUCGGAUCGUAAAACUCUGUUGUUAGAGAAGAACACGAGUGAGAGUAACUGUUCAUUCGAUGACGGUAUCUAACCAGCAAGUCACGGCUAACUACGUG
rnacentral:rRNA from 1 species